CUUUAGUAUUUGCAUGCUGUAUAUGCAAAGGAAAAAAAUGGGUCAACAAAUGCAUUGAGGUUGCUUUAGAUAAGGGUUAAGGUGGCACAUGAGGUCAAUAUCAGGAUUUACGAUUCAGGCAAAACACACAGGAAAACUCGGCAUCGACCGAGAGAAGUGAGAGGCAAGCAGUCUGGAAGUCGGAAGAGGUGAAACUCGGAAUGAAAGGCAGAACUAUAAGCUGGGCGAAAGGAGGUGUGGUGGAGACAGGAGAGGCCUAAUCUGUUUUCCAUGUUCCCAUCCGGUUCUGUUGGAGCUGUUGAAUGGCAGAUAAACAGAGAAGGGGCUAAGGCUGAGGCUUCAUCAAGAGGAUUAAUUCUACUCCUUCUGCUUCCUGGGAACCACCAUCACUGAGGACCUCAAAUGGGAGCCAACCAUCAGGUCCAGCAAAGAAUGUUCUUCUUGAGGCAGCUACGAAAACUACGACUGCAGACGAAGUUGCUGGUGGAGUUCUACACGGCCA